rnacentral:rRNA from 1 species
CUACGGAGGGGGUUAGCGUUGUUCGGAAUUAUUGGGCGUAAAGAGCAUGUAGGCGGUCUGUUAAGUCUGGUGUGAAAGCCCGGGGCUCAACCCCGGAAGUGCAUUGGAUACUGGCAGACUUGAGUAUGGGAGAGGAAAGCGGAAUUCCGAGUGUAGGAGUGAAAUCCGUAGAUAUUCGGAGGAACACCAGUGGCGAAGGCGGCUUUCUGGACCAAUACUGACGCUGAGAUGCGGAAGCGUGGGGAGCAAACAGGAUUAGAAACCCCAGUAGUCC